GAUGAACGCUGGCGGCGUGCUUAACACAUGCAAGUCGAACGGAGUGCCUUUGAAAGAGGAUUCGUCCAAUUGAUAAGGUUACUUAGUGGCGGACGGGUGAGUAACGCGUGAGGAACCUGCCUUGGAGUGGGGAAUAACACAGUGAAAAUUGUGCUAAUACCGCAUAAUGCAGUUGGGCCGCAUGGCUCUGACUGCCAAAGAUUUAUCGCUCUGAGAUGGCCUCGCGUCUGAUUAGCUAGUUGGUAGGGUAACGGCCUACCAAGGCGACGAUCAGUAGCCGGCUUGAGAGAGUGAUCGGCCACAUUGGGACUGAGACACGGCCCAA
rnacentral:rRNA from 1 species